GACGAACGCUGGCGGCGUGCUUAACACAUGCAAGUCGAACGGAAAGGCCCUGCUUUUGUGGGGUGCUCGAGUGGCGAACGGGUGAGUAACACGUGAGUAACCUGCCCUUGACUUUGGGAUAACUUCAGGUAACUGGGGCUAAUACCGGAUAGGAGCUCCUGCUGCAUGGUGGGGGUUGGAAAGUUUCGGCGGUUGGGGAUGGACUCGCGGCUUAUCAGCUUGUUGGUGGGGUAGUGGCUUACCAAGGCUUUGACGGGUAGCCGGCCUGAGAGGGUGACCGGCCACAUUGGGACUGAGAUACGGCCCAGACUCCUACGGGAGGCAGCAGUGGGGAAUAUUGCACAAUGGGCGGAAGCCUGAUGCAGCAACGCCGCGUGCGGGAUGACGGCCUUCGGGUUGUAAACCGCUUUCGCCUGUGACGAAGCGUGAGUGACGGUAAUGGGUAAAGAAGCACCGGCUAACUACGUGC
rnacentral:rRNA from 1 species